AUCAGUGAAAACCACGUGAUCAUCCACGACAGCGGUCCAGAGUCGCUGAGAUAACCGGAACUGCUGAGGCCGGAGAAUUCGAGAUAACACGGUGUGCAGCUGGAUGAACACAGCAGGUCAAGCUGUACCAGAGGAGCAGGAAAGCUAACGUUUCGGGCUUGGAUCUUUCGUUGAGACCAAGAUUUGUGCAACUGAGAUACCAGCGAUCGUUGCCGAAGCCCUGUUGCCUGUUGAGAAGUUUAACCUUCGUGUCCUGCUGCAGUUUGUAUGAUGAAGGUGCUCCCACAAUACGGUCAUUUGAGAAGUUACAGAUCAUUCAUCUAGCAAUACUGAAGAGCUAACGGUGAUAUUACAAGUGGACUUUCAGGUGGGAGUCUCAAUAGUUGUAGCACCAAACUCUGACAGAAUUACUCGAUUCAUCAGGACCUGGAUAUUCACAUUAUAUUUCCGCAAUUUUACUUCUGCACUGUUCUUAGUCUUUCGAUCCCUCUGAAAGACUGAGUUACAGAUCUAUACACUGCCUGUCCAUCCUCCCUGGAUCUCCCACCUUCUUUCAGUUUUGUGCAAACACUGACUGGAUCCCUUACCUGGAGGAUAUUUAUUUAUGAAUUUGUUCUAAUGAUAAUCCAUCAUAUUCCCCAAGUAUCGCUCCACAAAUGUCCAGAGGAUUUCUGUUUCACAAUCUGCGUGUGUUCUUCUGGUUUCUCACUCACUGCACUUGUUUUCUGUCUGAAAGCUUAGUCUACAGUUGGAGAAUUCAAACAGGAACACAUCCAGAUCUGACAGUCACUUUGUUUAUCACAACUCAAUUACCUCAGGAUUUUGAACACUGAAGGAAAAAGCAGCACUCGCAGUGGGGAGAAAUGCAUAUGGUCUGUGAGGAUUCAUCUGAAAUGUCCUUACACCAGCUCAGUGACACUGGGGAGAGACCAUUCACCUUCUCUAAAUGUGGGAAAGCAUUCACUCAGUCACCCAAACUGUUAACACCCCAGUGAGUUCACAAAGAAGCACAGUUGAAGGGUUUUGCUGUCACACUCAAUAUCAAAUGAACUAUGGUUUUGGGCUGUUUGUACUGAUGUUACUGAUCCCUGCUCAAUUAAAGGUACUGGUAUUGUGGAUAAAAUGUUAAUAUCAGUUGUGUAUCUGUCAGGUAGAGCUUGGAAAUAGUCAUGUUGUCAUGACACAUCGAUACAUUCACACUGACGAAAGACUAUCCACCCGCACGGUAUGUGAAAAGGGAUUUCCUGGUUCAUCAGGACUGGUUAACUAGCAGCAAAUUUCUGAAUAACUGUGAAGUUGGUUUUUGAUUCUCCUUUUAGCUAUGUACAAACCAUGUUUUUUGGGCUUGUUUCUGGAGUCCAUAGGAUCCCUCCGGUGUGGAAGCAGACCAUUUAGCCCAUCAAGUGCGCACUGAACUUAUGAAGCGUGUCCGACCCAGACCCUGCCUGCGUGGGUUUCCUCCAGGUGCUCCAGUUUCCUCCCACAGUCCAGAAAAUAUGCAAAUUGGGUAGAUUGAUGAUGCUAAAUUUCCCAUAGUGUCACGUGUGCAAAAUGCAAGGACAGAGUAGGGUGUGAGGCUGGGUGGGAUGCUCUUUGGAGGGUUCGUGUGGACUCGAUGGACGAAUGGCCGUCUUCCACACUGUAGGAAUUCUGUGAUGAUCUCGAUGGCCCUUUAUUUGUUGGUUAUGCCUGGUCAUUAUGUCUGCACACCUUUACAAUUACAGAUUCUAUUGAUCUCCACGGACAUGUUUCAAUUUUUAAUAGAUAUUUGUUUAUUGGAAACAAUGCAAUCUUUCCUUUUGAUUUUUAUCCACAAAAUGAAAGUUUUAAAUCGAAAUAAAAGAUUGGGAUGAGUCCUGUACUAUAAUCCCUGAUUGGGAAAAUGCAAUCGGCUAUGAAACCUGGUGACCAUUGUGACUCUGUCUGGGGGAAAUGCAGUCUCCUCAGAUCCUUACCUGUUGUCCAUAGCAGUGAUGGAUCUCAUGAUGAAUACAUAAACCAAGACAUUGUGUGAUAUCUAGUGUAUAUUUUCUAUUUAUUCUUCUGUCUAUUACUCCACAGAGACUGAGAUAAUGGUCUGGGCACCGAGGUUUGAAACCCACCAUUCCACAUGGUAGAAUUUGAGUUUAAACAAAAAAUUCUGAAAUAAGAAUCUAAUGAUGACUGUAAAUCUGUUUUCAUUGUUGGAAAAACCUAUGUCUUUUAGGGAAGGAAACUGCCAUUCUUAGCCAGGGAUAUCAAGAUCCCAUGAAUGAAUUUUUAAAAAUUAAUUUUUAAAAAAAUCUCCUGCAAAUACACUUAUCUGUCUUAAUUUAUUUGACAACCGACAGUUCAAACUGGUUGGUGGUCACUUUCACUUUUGAUAAAGUUGUGGCCAUUUCAUGGUUGAAACAAAAAAAAAUGCAAUGAUUGGAACCACAGUUGUUCUCAUCAAAGCAUGCAUUGUUCCUACGUGUUUGAAAAAAAAACCUCAUCUCACUUAUGAGCCAGAAAUCAAAGUUGACCAGAUCCUGAUGCUGUGUACCAUGGAAUUGAAAUUCUUCACCGUCUUAUCCACUUGUGUCGCUAUUUCAGGGAGCUAUGGACUUGAACGUCCCAAACUCAUGAACACCUUGAGAAUUUCAUCAAACUUGCCCCCAAUGGCAGGAAUGGACUGGGUCAGCUUGGGUUGAAGAUCAUAAUUCAGGCUCAACAAAUCUACUGGAGCAUUUUGAGGAUGUAAUUAGUGGUGAGUGUGGCCACCUCUCUGCACUGUAGUGAUACAGAUCCCCUGAUCCUGCUUGUCCCAAAUGGCUGAUAUUGAAUGAUUCCUUGGACAUGCUGUGUCAGGAUCUCCUGACUGAAUCCUGUCUCCCUUGCCCUGACCGAGAACUGUUUCUCUGAGACUUUGCGACGUGACCGUUUGGUCGAAACAUAUGUUUGUUGACACAGCUGCUGACCAGCCCUUGACUGACUGUUGGUAAUAACAAUGCUAAGCUGCCUGGCUUAUGCCUGUGAUAAGCACCAGGCAAGACAGGAGCACUGUGAGACAUUAGGUUCUAGUUGAGACGUCAAAGUGCAAAAAUGCCAGGGAAAGGCAGAGAUAUUGUGGCAGAACAUGUCUCAGGUGCUGAAAAGUUUGUAGAGUUCUGACAGCAAGAAUGCACUUUGUGCACAGGCAAUUCUGCAUCUUGAUGUAGCAUUUUUAUUUAACUUCUGGCUCAUUUCGCUAAAUCUGCAAAUAUCUCUUUGUCUGGCUAAUGUGAGUAGUGGUAAUCUGAUUAAACUCAAAGGCCUUGACUUGAGAAAAAUAAAACAGUCACAUGCACACUUGUUUGGUUGCUCUUGCACUCAACUGAAAAACGUGCGUUUGUAUACACCAUAUCCUUUUGUGGCUCAGUGUUUCCAAAAUCUCUAGUUCAAUACAUCCCAAUUCGUCAUCAUCAAAGUCAAAACGAGUGAAUAUUUCGAUAGCUUCAUCUUUUUUUUCUUCUGAAAUGCUAUUUGUAAUGAGGUAGUGGUGGCAGGCUAUUUUCUUUUACUUCUGAUGCAUUGCGUGGAUUUUCAGGGAUAGUGUUGGUGGGAAGAUGCAGCAGGUACCAGGGAUGAUGCACUAACAUUCAGAGCAAGUGCUGAACAUGCAGAAAAGGAGAGAUUAACAGGUACCUUGGAACAAGCAUAGUUGGAGAAGGUUGGGUGAGAGUACUGAGAGAAAGCACUUUGGUGGCAGCACCAGGACAUGUGUUUGAUUCCAGCCGUGGGUGACUGACUGCCUGUGUGGAGUUUGCACAUUCUCCCUGUGUCUGUGGGUUUCCUCAGAGUGCUCCCACAGUCCAAAGAUGCACAGGUUAGGUGGAUUAGCCAUGUUACAUUGCCUGUAGUGUUUAGAGAGAGGUAGUUCAGGUGGGUUAUAGAUCGGGCUGGGAUGCUCUGAGGUUUGGUGUGGACUUGUUGGGUUGAAGGGCUGUUAUGGUUCCGGAGUGUUGAGCAGAUGGUGGAGAAUCUGAGAUAACAGGCCAACUAGGACUGAAGGAACAGGAAGUCUGAUGUCUCAGGCCGAGACACCCUUCCUGAAGUUUUGAUCAGGCUGUUUUUUAAACUUGGUUUAAUGAGACUGCACCAGUCCUGGAAACACUGCAAUACCAGGAUGAUGCGUGGAGAGGAUGGAGCAAGACCCUGUUCCAAUUCCUGCUCCAAAAAUCAGUUUAACAUAGGGUCCUUAAGUAAAGGACAUGUCCACAUAUUAAAGCUGAUAAGAACAGAUUUUUCUUUAUUUGAAAAAAUAUACUUCAUUCACAAGAUGUACAAAAAAUAAAACAUGUUUAUACACCUACCCAGUCAUGCAAGCU